GGCGUGCCUAAUACAUGCAAGUCGAGCGAACAGAGAAGGAGCUUGCUCCUUUGACGUUAGCGGCGGACGGGUGAGUAACACGUGGGCAACCUACCUUAUAGUUUGGGAUAACUCCGGGAAACCGGGGCUAAUACCGAAUAAUCUGUUUCACCUCAUGGUGAAAUAUUGAAAGACGGUUUCGGCUGUCGCUAUAGGAUGGGCCCGCGGCGCAUUAGCUAGUUGGUGAGGUAACGGCUCACCAAGGCGACGAUGCGUAGCCGACCUGAGAGGGUGAUCGGCCACACUGGGACUGAGACACGGCCCAGACUCCUACGGGAGGCAGCAGUAGGGAAUCUUCCACAAUGGGCGAAAGCCUGAUGGAGCAACGCCGCGUGAGUGAAGAAGGAUUUCGGAUCGUAAAACUCUGUUGUAAGGGAAGAACAAGUACAGUAGUAACUGGCUGUACCUUGACGGUACCUUAUUAAAAAGCCACGGCUAACUACGUG
rnacentral:rRNA from 1 species